rfam:Naematelia encephala strain 68-887.2 BCR39scaffold_81, whole genome shotgun sequence.
GCCCCCAUCGCUUAGUUGGUUAAAGCGAAGGUCUCAUAUUCGUCUUAUGAGCGCUAGUCCGCGUGUAAUCCUUAGCCCUGAGUUCGAAUCUCAGUGGGAGCA